AAAAUAUAAUCUGUACUGACAAUAAUAAUUCUGGACCAGCCAAAAAGACAAGAUUAUUAUUUGGACGCUUGAAACAGAAAACGUUUGUCUGACUCGGAUUCACAAUAAUAAUCUCCGACUUCAGAUUGGCAGAUAUUAUAUGAAGCGUGAAGGCAGAUAUUAUUUGAAGCGUGAAAGCAGAUAUUAUUUGAAGCGUGACGAAAAGAAGCACCCCAUUGAGAGAGAUUAGCACGUGACGCAAGCGGCACGUAUGCUUACAGUACUUUUGUCUGACAGACCUAACCGUUAUUCAACUUAUUGACUCAUGGAUAGAGGGUGUCCUCAAAAGAUCUGUGUGGAUCCUGGAACAGAGAAUGGAAUCGUUGCAGCAUUUCAUUGAAUCCUGUUUAGAAGGAAAUGGCAAUUCAGUUACUUAGGGAAAAUCUGGAGCAAAUCAAGGUGCUUCACAAUACUUCUAUGCAGUUCAACAAAAUACAGCGCCUCAUUUACAGAGACUCAUAUUUAAACAAUUUCCAAGAUAUUAAUGAAGAUUUUACAUGUGUGGCAACAUCUAUUUUGCAUCAGCAUGAUCUGCCUUUGCCUGACACUUUGAGAGACUGGACCUCUGCUCAUCAUCUCUACAUAUAUCUGAGGGAGUGCAUGAUGCAUUUGAUGAUUCUUUAACAUCAUAAGAUGUUGUAGAAUAUACAUUUGUUUCCAUGACUUUGUACACUUGCUUUUAUUGACAGCUGAUUUCUGUUCCAUAGUUUUAUGUAUUUAACUCAUCAGAUACAUUUUCAUGUAUUCGCAUUUUCUGGGGGUGUUUUUUUAUCCUUGAAAUAUUUUAAAUGUGGAGCUUUACAGAAUUUCAUUUGGUAUGAAUGCUAAAGGCUAUUCAUGAACAGAAUUUGUUCUUUGAAGUCUCCCAUCCCACUCCACCAUCCCCUACAAAAACACCCAUGAAUUUUGUCCAAGCCAUACCUUUGUACUGUUAAACUUGCUAACCACAGGAGAAGUUUACAGAAAUGUUUUUUUAUUUACUAUGCAUUUAUAUAUUCAAAAUGUUUAGCACCUUCUGAUACGUAUUAUUAAUGUCAGAUAUGUAUGAUUGUGUAAUAAAUUAUAUACAU